rnacentral:lncRNA from 1 species
UUUCAUUUCUCCUUUAGCAACACAAUGACUGUCAAAGAGCUCAUAAGAGAUUGGAACUGCUUUUGCAAUAAGUAAAGUCAAUGAAGAAAGUAAGAGGAUUGCAAAGGUUUCCCCCGCUGAUUCUGCCAACAGAAAUGUUUUUAUUGUGCUGCUUUGGACUGUCAUUCAUCAAGCAACCAGAGAGAAAAGAAGGCUCUUUACUGUCAGCUAAGCCUGAAAAAUACUUGGAAAGUACUUUGCUUCCCUGGGCUUGGGUCAUGGACAAGGUGAGGGGUAGGAUUGGGAGGCAUGCUGGGUGGACUAAAAGAACAACUACUGUAAGCUGCUAUCAGCCAAGGAAAGGCACAGAAAUACAGAGUUCCACCCUCACGCAACCAC